ACCGCCCGUCACACCAUGGGAAUUGGAUCUACCCGAAGGUGGUGCGCCAACCUGCAAAGGAGGCAGCCAACCACGGUAGGUUCAGUGACUGGGGUG
rnacentral:rRNA from 1 species